rnacentral:misc_RNA from 1 species
AACCUAGCACACCUGCGGUGUGUACCUGCGGAGGGAUCAUUAUAGUAUAUGGAAUCUCCAUUCUAUAAACCCACUCUGCGUAUCUUGUAACUGUUGCUUCCAUGGGACUUGGUUCCGCCACACCGGCUUCACGGCUGGUGAGCGCCCAUGGAAGGAGAAACAAAACUCUUCUUUGAAAUGUAGUCAGUCUGAACAAGUUUUUAUAAACGUUAAAACUUUUAACAAUGGAUCUCAGAUCGG